CAGAGGCAGGCAGGCCUCCUUGAGCUGUGGUGGGCUCCGCCCAGUUGGAGCUUCCCGGCUGCUUUGUUUACCUAAGCAAGCCUGGGCAAUGGCGGGCGCCCCUCCCCCAGCCUUGCUGCUGCCUUGCACUUUGAUCUCAGACUGCUGUGCUAGCAAUCAGGGAGACUCCAUGGGCGUAGGACCCUCCAAGCCAUGUGUGGGAUAUAAUCUCGUGGUGUGCCGUUUUUUAAGCCCUUCGGAAAAGUGCAGUAUUCGGGUGGGAGUGACCUGAUUUUACAGAUGCCGUCCGUCACCCCUUUCUUUGAUUUGGAAAGGGAACUCCCUGACCCCUUGCACUUCCCAAGUGAGGUAAUGCCUCGCCCUGCUUCGGCUCACGCACGGUGCGCGCACCCACUGACCUGCACCCACUGUCUGGCGAGAUGAACCCGGUACCUCAGAUGGAAAUGCAGAAAUCACCGUCUUCUGCGUCGCUCACGCUGGGAGCUGUAGACCGGAGCUGUUCCUAUUCGGCCAUCUUGGCUCCUCUCCUCAGCGGAAUCUAGUUUGUUCCCAAGUUACCAUAUCUCAGAGGCAUAUAAUGCUGUCCAAUUCUCUUGAAAACAAAAAUAAUUCAAGCUCCAAUAAUAAAGAUUUUUCUGCUUUGUUCUUCUGAGUCCCUUGUGCUGAGAAAACUCAUCUAGCAUAUGGAUCCCAUAUUAACAUUUAGUCAUCAUCUUUGCUUAGCACCCUAUUGACUGUGCCAGCUUCUCAGACUUUCCUUGUUUUUAAUGUCCUUCACAGUCCGGAGGAAUACUGGUAUAAAGCCAUCUUCCCUUUCAAGACUCACAUCUCUAGGGACAGAUAAUUAACAUUACUACAAGCUGCCAUCAAGUGCUGAUACAGACUAUGCACAUUGCCACUUAUCUGUGGAGCAGCCAUGCCUCCAAUUUCUUAAGGUACUUCCAGGUCUACUCGGUCAGCUUCUCCAACCCUGGGCGAGGAGUUUGGCUCCGUGGUGAAGGAUGUCAUUGUCACCUUCAAGUCACUUACAUCUCAGAAGUUGGAUACCCAAAGAUGGUUGCCUUGGGUUUAUUGCCAUCAUUAGUGGAAACUGUAAAGCUAAGCCAAUGAUUCCAUGUGUAUUUCAAGAUCUGAAGAGCUCAAAGAAAGAAAUCUUUGAAAAUGUUUUUCCUUGACAUAAGAAAGAAAACAGAGAGAAAAGAUCAAGACAGUGG
rnacentral:lncRNA from 1 species